rnacentral:rRNA from 1 species
AGUGAACGCUGGCGGUAGGCCUAACACAUGCAAGUCGAACGGCAGCACAGUAAGAGCUUGCUCUUACGGGUGGCGAGUGGCGGACGGGUGAGGAAUACAUCGGAAUCUACUUUUUCGUGGGGGAUAACGUAGGGAAACUUACGCUAAUACCGCAUACGACCUACGGGUGAAAGCAGGGGAUCUUCGGACCUUGCGCGAUUGAAUGAGCCGAUGUCGGAUUAGCUAGUUGGCGGGGUAAAGGCCCACCAAGGCGACGAUCCGUAGCUGGUCUGAGAGGAUGAUCAGCCACGCGGGACCUGAGACACGGGCCAGACUCCUACGGGAGGCAGCAGGGGGGAAUAUUGGACAAUGGGCGCAAGCCUGAUCCAGCCAGACCGCGUGGGUGAAGAAGGCCUUCGGGUUGUAAAGCCCUUUUGUUGGGAAAGAAAAGCAGCAGGUUAAUACCCCGCUGUUCUGACGGUACCCAAAGAAUAAGCACCGGCUAACUUCGU